CCGCAAGGUUAAACUCAAAUGAAUUGACGGGGCCCGCACAAGCGGGGAGCAUGUGUUUAUUCGAUGCAACGCGAAGAACCUUACCUGGUCUUGACAUCCACAGAACUUGGCAGAGAUGCUUUGGUGCUUUCGGGAACUGUGAGACAGGUGCUGCAUGGCUGUCGUCAGCUCGUGUUGUGAAAUGUUGGGUUAAGUCCCGCAACGAGCGCAACCCUUAUCCUUUGUUGCCAGCGGUCCGGCCGGGAACUCAAAGGAGACUGCCAGUGAUAAACUGGAGGAAGGUGGGGAUGACGUCAAGUCAUCAUGGCCCUUACGACCAGGGCUACACACGUGCUACAAUGGCGCAUACAAAGAGAAGCGACCUCGCGAGAGCAAGCGGACCUCAUAAAGUGCGUCGUAGUCCGGAUUGGAGUCUGCAACUCGACUCCAUGAAGUCGGAAUCGCUAGUAAUCGUAGAUCAGAAUGCUACGGUGAAUACGUUCCCGGGCCUUGUACACACCGCCCGUCACACCAUGGGAGUGGGUUGCAAAAGAAGUAGGUAGCUUAACCUUCGGGAGGGCGCUUACCACUUUGUGAUUCAUGACUGGGGUGAAGUCGUAACAAGGUAACCUA
rnacentral:rRNA from 1 species